rnacentral:rRNA from 1 species
UUAUGGCUGUCGUCAGCUCGUGUUGUGAAAUGUCCGUUAAGUCCGGCAACGAGCGAGACCCCCACCCUUAGUUGGUAUCCCGGUCUCCGGAUCGGGACCACACUAAGGGGACUGCCGGCGUUAAGCCGGAGGAAGGAGGGGGCCACGGCAGGUCAGCAUGCCCCGAAACCCCCGGGCCGCACGCGGGUUACAAUGGCAGGGACAGCGGGAUUCCGACCCCGAAAGGGGAAGGUAAUCCCUCAAACCCUGCCUCAGUUGGGAUCGAGGGCUGAAACUCGCCCUCGUGAACGAGGAAUCC